UGUCACAGCCAUGCCACCCUGAACAAGCCCAAUCCCAUCUGAUCUUGGAAGCUAAGCAGGGUUGGGCCUGGUUAGUACUUGGAUGGGAGACCACCUAGGAAGACUAGGUGCUGCAGGCAU
rnacentral:rRNA from 1 species